GUGAGGGUUCUGUGAAAGGUGUGUCUUCAUUUAUUCACUGAAGGAAAAGGAAAAAAAAAACUUAAUUUGAGUUGACAAAAUGUCUUUUGUGUGUGUGUGUGUGUGUGUGUCAUAGCAGCAGUGAACAAACAAACAAACAAACACAGAGUUCAUUCAAUACAACAAUACUUUACAAACACUACAGUAAAAAGUUGUACUGUAGUAGUACCUGUUCUCCAAAUAAAAAAAAUAUUCUGAAAAAAAAAAACGUUAAUCCUGAUCAGGAGCCAAUCCCAGAAUGCACUGCAGUUUUCUAACCAUUCACACUCACACACACACACACACACACACACCUCUGAACUUUAACCUCGUUUCAUUUUCAUCUGGAUGUUUCUGGAGGAAGUCCCGUGCGUUCGGGUAAACCGCCUAAACUUUUCUAAUCUGAUCUGAACUGUCGUUCUGCAGGAACUUCAUUUAACGACAGUUUCGUUUCCAGGACGGAAGCGUUUCCUCGUACGAUGACUGCGACGUCCGUUGACACAGCUGCGCGUUAUCAGGCACUUGUUGGAAAAAAAGACCUGUGUCUUCAUGAAUUUCUUCAGUACUCUGUCUUCCCGUCCAGACCCUCGGCCCCUCAGGUCUUAUCUCGCCCUCAGGCGGCGUGGGGGACACUGAUAUGACCAGACCAAGGCCGCGGCCCACACGGACAUCUGCUGUCACGCUGUUGACGCGGCAGCAUCGUUGACAAUCUUGGCAGCAGUCAGCUAACGACACGUCCUGACAGUUCAGUGGGAGUCCAGUAACCUUGGAGUGAUCCUGUACAGAGGUACCCCAACCACUGGCUCCCAGACUGGCAGUGGGCCGGGGCUCACUUCAUAUUGGGCCGCAAUGAAAAAAAAGUCAAAGACUAUAUCAUCGUCUUAAAUCAAAGUCCAAAUCUAGCGCCUGUCAUGAGUCAAUGAGUCAUCUUCACGCACCACGCUCCACCUGAGCCGAGGGAAACAACGCGCUGCAGAGAGACCUGCAACAGAUCUGAUGUGCAGAAGACCUUCAAACCACUUCCUUUUAGGUUGGCGAGUGCACAGGAAGUCACAUGGUUUUCACAUCCUGCAAGCACUUACUCCAAGGUAGAACGUCUGCGUGAAUUAUUGAGAAUCAGAGCCGGGGCAGAUGCUGAGUUUCUUUUCCCCUUCUUUAUUCCCUAUUCACGAAAAUCAUGAUCAGGUAACACGGUGAUGCCUCUGUGGCCACGAGGGGUUUAUUGUUAGAUAGUAAAAUAUUCUUCCUGUAAAUGUGUUUGAAAAGUACAACGACCUUUGUUUGAAGAGUGAAGUCAGGGCCUGAGAUCAGUGUGAAGAUGGUGGGAUCAACUGCAUACAGAUGUAUGUUCUCCAGGACGUACAUGCAGGAAGUUCAUGUAUGUAGAAUAACAGUCAAACAGAGAUGAAAAAGAUGAAUGAAACAUAAUGAAGGUUAAAAACAUGUAGCAAGGAAAAAAAACAACAACAACAAAAAAAAACAAAACUUCUGAAUCUGCAGGUGAUUUUAGAUUCUUCACCGUCUUCACCUCUGAGACAGAAUAUAAAAAUAACCCUGACAUAUCUGGAUGAUUAAGAAAUAAAAACAAUAUUUUCUGUGUUUCCAGUUAAAACCACGUUAUAGACACGUUUAUUUUAGUAAAAGGGAACGUCUGUAAAUACCACGUUUGCAGAGUGGGGCCGAGGAAACCCGACUUCCUCCCUCACCGUCUUCUUGACUCAACUUCUCAUUUUUAUCUCUAAUUUCUAUAAUACCCUGAAUAUCUUUUGGCAGCGAGUCAAGUGCGGUUCAAGGUCGGGAUUCAGUCCAAGUCAGCAGUGAGAACCGGGGCCAACGUGACCUCGGCGUGACUCCCCGUGGACGGCGUUCACAGACGGCUCUGAAGACGUUAUCUCCUGUGAACGCUGCUGUGGCCGAGCGGAGGCCGUGUUUACUGAUGUGCGGCGCGGCGCUCCUCCGCUGCAGCAGCUGUGGGAGAAAACAGCAGUUGGCAAAACAAAAACGCUGCUGAAGAAAAAUGUGACAUCUCAUGAUCGUGAUUGUUUUUUUUUAACCAGGGAGUGAUAAGCACGUUAGGGUCAGAGGUCAAAGCACAGGAAGUGUUGGAAUUCUCUCAAGGCUGCUGCUGUGCUGACAGUCGGGGGGUUGGGGGGGGGCUACAGUCCACAGAACACUGACCAAUAAUCACAAUAUAAGGAAGAAAAAUGAAAUAUUGACAUUUAUAUUUUCAUCUCUGAAGUACAUUAAUACUAAAGUCUCCAAAUAUUUUUUAAAAACUGCCUUUUUUAAUUGGACCAAUGACAGUGGUAGAUUUUUUUUUUUAAUUACGUUAAGUGCCCAUUCAGUAUAGCAACUCAACAUCCGGUCAGACAAACUGACGUCAUCAUGUAGAACUACACACACACACACCAUCUGCUUGGGGAGUCCAGGAGGGGGCACCAAAAUAAUCAGCUCCUGGAUAUUACCAGCGGAAUGACAAUAAUUUUUUAUUUUUUUAAAUUAGUUUCCUGAAAAAGAAAAUGCGUUUUUCAUGUAACAGAAACCCCGCCCACCCCCUGAUUUGUUCUGAUUCAUGAAGGUUUGAUUGACAUGACAUAUUUUUGUAAGUGGCCACUGAAGGCACCGUCAGUGUGGAGCAGAAAAAAACAGGCAAGAGUUUACUUUAUUCAUAAAUUAAAAUUAUGAAGAUUCCACUGUUACAAUCCCAACUUAUUAUACGCGCAUUUUAACGUUAAAAGCUCGACACUACGUCACGUUAAGACGUUAACGUUAACGCAGCGUCACUGCAGAUGAACAUUGUGCGACCAAUCGUUAAAGUCGUUAAAGGGUCGGAGUAGAUAUGGUUGAUAUGGUUUAAGUUUU